GGCGGCUGUUGCGGCCUGAGGGGGUCGGGGCGCUGCGGGCGGGAGGCGCAGUCAUGCCCCGGUAUUACGAGGACAAGCCGGAGGGCGGCGCGUGCGCGGGCGUGCGGGAGGACCUGGGCGCCUGUCUGCUGCAGUCGGACUGUGUGCUCAAGGAAGGAAAGUCCCCUCGGCAGUGUCUGAAGGAGGGAAACUGCAAAGCUCUGAAAUACUCGUUUUUUGAAUGUAAACGAUCAAUGUUGGAUGCCAGAUCAAGAUUCAGAGGAAGAAAAGGAUAUUGAUACUAUUAUGUUGAAACCAAGAUGAAAUCAACAAAGGAUUUUUCUCUCCAGUAAAACAGAGAAGCCAAAAUAGGAAACAUACUUUUUGCUACAUCUGUUUGGUUGGACCAGUUUUUCCCUCCCUGGAACACUGGAGAAAAUGUAUGGGUUCUGUUUUUGAAUAUGUAUGAAGGUGGCUCUUUCACUUUAGAAGUCAUCUGGAUGCAUCGGUGUCUUAGUGACCCUGAAUACCUCGAGUUGGCUGCCGUCCACGGUGUCUCAGCACUAGCAUUAGCCUAGAAGCAAUCUGAAAACCAUCACCAAAUAUCAAUAACUUCCCUUUCUUAAAUCAUCUUCCCAUCUUUGUUUCAUUCUGCCCAUUUCUCACUAGAGCAGAAAAGAUUUCGGAUAUAUAUUUAGCCUGACUUCAUGAGUAAAAGGCCUCAGUGACAUUAAAACUCAGCACAAAGGGCAAGCCUACUGAGUCUCUUUUCUCAGAUACUCUAAAGAAAACCAUCACCACCCACGGCCUCGGCUGAUCUCAUGGUGUCCUUUCUCA